CGGCCCGCAUGGCUCUGCCAGUUCCGCCACGGCGAGCCUUACGGGCUCCCUUCUCCGGCCGCGGACGAGGCAGCUCCCGCCUCGGAUGAAGGCGGAUGGAGGCGGAUGAAGAGAAGCAAAGCAGGGCCUCAGCUACUCACCGCCAUGGUGGAGAACAGGAAGAGAGGGCGAAGCUUCCGGCCCAGGGCCUUAUGGCCUUGAUGACCCCAACAGCCACUGUCUGCCUCAUGUCACGAACAGCAAAGCGGCCUAGGACACAGGACAUGAAGAAACAGGUGGAGAACACUAGCAGGGCAGGAGCUAUUAUAGGACACUGGCAUGGGAGGUCAAGGAGAUGUCAAUGGUGAUGCCACGUUCCCGCUCUGCUUUCAGCUUGUCCAGAACCCAGGCAUAUUUGAAGGAGCCUUUGCCCACCUGGGCCAGGAGUAGGAGGAAAACCCCAGUGUCACCUCUAAUAUCCAAAGCUGCCCAUCAACCAGGAAGGAAGUUCCCAAAUGAAUGGAGAGUCAGAGGAAUGGUAACAGGGCAG